rnacentral:rRNA from 1 species
CUAAGAAUAUUCCGCAAUGGACGGAAGUCUGACGGAGCGACGCCGCGUGGAUGACGAAGGCCGAAAGGUUGUAAAGUACUUUUGCUGGGGAAGAAUAACCGCAGGAGGGAAUGCCUGUGGGAUGACAAGAACCGGCGAAUAAGCCCCGGCCAACUACGUGCCAGCAGCCGCGGUAACACGUAGGGGGCGAGCGUUGUUCGGAAUUACUGGACGUAAAGGGCAUGUAGGCGGCUUGGAAAGCCUGGCGUGAAAGUCUGCAGCUUAACUGCAGGGGUGCGCUGGGAACUGCUGAGCUUGAGUGACGGAGAGGGAGCUGGAAUUCCUGGUGUAGGGGUGAAAUCUGUAGAUAUCAGGAAGAACACCGAUGGCGAAGGCAAGCUCCUGGCCGAUGACUGACGCUGAGGUGCGAAAGUGUGGGGAUCAAAACAGGAUUAGAUACCCUGGUAGUCCACACAGUCAACGAUGUGCACUAGGUGCUGGGGCGGUAGCUUCGGUGCCGGAGCGAACGUGGUAAGUGCACCGCCUGGGGAGUAUGCUCGCAAGGGUGAAACUUAAAUGAAUUGACGGGGUCUAGCUGUUUCCU